rnacentral:pre_miRNA from 1 species
UUUACCUGGGAUCUUGUUAAAAAGCAGAUUCUGAUUCUGUAGGUCUGGGCUUGGGGCCUGAGAUUCUUCAUUUUUAACAAGCUCUCAGGCAAUGCUGA